rnacentral:rRNA from 1 species
UACGUAGGGUGCAAGCGUUGUCCGGAAUUAUUGGGCGUAAAGAGCUCGUAGGCGGUCUGUCACGUCGGCUGUGAAAACCCGAGGCUCAACCUCGGGCCUGCAGUCGAUACGGGCAAACUAGAGUACUGCAGGGGAGACUGGAAUUCCUGGUGUAGCGGUGAAAUGCGCAGAUAUCAGGAGGAACACCGGUGGCGAAGGCGGGAUCUCUGGGCCAUUACUGACGCUGAGGAGCGAAAGCGUGGGGAGCGAACAGG